rnacentral:piRNA from 1 species
UAGAAAGGAAAACUGUGGAUGCAGAAGAC